rnacentral:rRNA from 1 species
GAAGCUCGUAGCAGUGCACGCGCCAAGCUUCGUGAGCAUAGUCCACUUGCUUUUGAUAACUAUAUACGAUGGCUUCUUGAAAAUACUCAAGUUGAGAUAUGCCCGUCGGCAUAUAAUGAGGAUAUUCUUGAAGAACCCGUAAACUUUGAGGAUCUAUCAAAGGGGAAGUACAACAGAGAUGUCAGGGUAGGGCACGGAGUCCCUGCUGUUCCGGUGAUUAACUAUGUGCGCACCGAGAUCAAGAAAGCAGCUGAUGAGAGCCAGUCUAUUCUGGAGGAAACACCGGUUGGAAAAGGCAAUGAUGAUGGUUCACUACAAGCAUUUCUC